CCCUUAGAUGUUCUGGGCCGCACGCGCGCUACACUGAUGCAUUCAACGAGCCUAUCCUUGACCGACAGGUCCGGGUAAUCUUUGAAUCUGCAUCGUGACGGGGAUAGAUUAUUGCAAUUAUUAAUCUUCAACGAGGAAUGCCUAGUAGGCGCAAGUCAUCAGCUUGCGUCGCUUACGUCCCUGCCCUUUGUACACACCGCCCGUCGCUCCUACCGAUUGGGUGUGCUGGUGAAAUGUUCGGAUCGGCCGUUUGUCGCGGUUUCCGCGUCAUGUGGCUGAGAAGUUCAUUAAACCCUCCCACCUAGAGGAAGGAGAAGUCGUAACA
rnacentral:rRNA from 1 species